rnacentral:tRNA from 2 species
CCGACCAUAGCUCAGUUGGUAGAGCGGAGGACUGUAGAAGGUAUAGAUUUCCUUAGGUCACUGGUUCGAAUCCGGUUGGUCGGA